GCCAAAGUGGUUGAGUGGUUAGACAGCAGAUUGCAAACCUGCUCCACGUCGGUUCGAAUCCGGCCUUUGGCU